rnacentral:rRNA from 1 species
CUACGGGUCGCACCAGUGAGGAAUAUUGCACAAUGGGGGGAACCCUGAUGCAGCAACGCCGCGUGGAGGAUGACGCAUUUCGGUGUGUAAACUCCUUUUAUAUGUCAAGAAAAUGACGGUAGCAUAUGAAUAAGCGCCGGCUAACUCCGUGCCAGCAGCCGCGGUAAUACGGAGGGCGCAAGCGUUACUCGGAAUCACUGGGCGUAAAGGACGCGUAGGCGGGUCGAAAAGUCAGGUGUGAAAGCCUACAGCUUAACUGUAGAACUGCACUUGAAACUCUCAAUCUAGAGUAUGGGAGGGGCAGAUGGAAUUAGUGGUGUAGGGGUAAAAUCCGUAGAUAUCACUAGGAAUACCUAAAGCGAAGGCGAUCUGCUGGAACAUUACUGACGCUAAGGCGUGAAAGCGUGGGGAGCAAACAGGAUUAGAUACCCGAGUAGUC